rnacentral:rRNA from 1 species
GACGAACGCUGGCGGCGUGCUUAACACAUGCAAGUCGAACGGAAAGGCCCUGCUUUUGUGGGGUGCUCGAGUGGCGAACGGGUGAGUCGCACGUGAGUAACCUGCCCUUGACUUUGGGAUAACUUCAGGAAACUGGGGCUAAUACCGGAUAGGAGCUCCUGCUGCAUGGUGGGGGUUGGAAAGUUUCGGCGGUUGGGGAUGGACUCGCGGCUUAUCAGCUUGUUGGUGGGGUAGUGGCUUACCAAGGCUUUGACGGGUAGCCGGCCUGAGAGGGUGACCGGCCACAUUGGGACUGAGAUACGGCCCAGACUCCUACGGGAGGCAGCAGUGGGGAAUAUUGCACAAUGGGCGGAAGCCUGAUGCAGCAACGCCGCGUGCGGGAUGACGGCCUUCGGGUUGUAAACCGCUUUCGCCUGUGACGAAGCGUGAGUGACGGUAAUGGGUAAAGAAGCACCGGCUAACUACGUG